CGGCCCGGUGAUUGUAUACGACUUCCAAGCUUAGAGUUUGAUCAUGGCUCAGAUUGAACGCUGGCGGCAGGCUUAACACAUGCAAGUCGAGCGGGCGAGGUUGCUUCGGUAACUGAGCUAGCGGCGGACGGGUGAGUAAUGCUUAGGAAUCUGCCUAUUAGUGGGGGACAACAUUCCGAAGGGAUGCUAAUACCGCAUACGUCCUACGGGAGAAAGCAGGGGCUCUUUAUGACCUUGCGCUAAUAGAUGAGCCUAAGUCGGAUUAGCUAGUUGGUGGGGUAAAGGCCUACCAAGGCGACGAUCUGUAGCGGGUCUGAGAGGAUGAUCCGCCACACUGGGACUGAGACACGGCCCAGACUCCUACGGGAGGCAGCAGUGGGGAAUAUUGGACAAUGGGGGGAACCCUGAUCCAGCCAUGCCGCGUGUGUGAAGAGGGCCUUUUGGUUGUAAAGCCCUUUAAGCGAGGAGGAGGCUCUCUUGGUUAAUACCUAAGAAGAGUGGACGUUACUCGCAGAAUAAGCACCGGCUAACUCUGUGCCAGCAGCCGCGGUAAUACAGAGGGUGCGAGCGUUAAUCGGAUUUACUGGGCGUAAAGCGCGCGUAGGUGGUUAAUUAAGUCAAAUGUGAAAUCCCCGAGCUUAACUUGGGAAUUGCAUUCGAUACUGGUUGGCUAGAGUAUGGGAGAGGAUGGUAGAAUUCCAGGUGUAGCGGUGAAAUGCGUAGAGAUCUGGAGGAAUACCGAUGGCGAAGGCAGCCAUCUGGCCUAAUACUGACACUGAGGUGCGAAAGCAUGGGGAGCAAACAGGAUUAGAUACCCUGGUAGUCCAUGCCGUAAACGAUGUCUACUAGCCGUUGGGGGAUUUGAUCCUUUAGUGGCGCAGCUAACGCGAUAAGUAGACCGCCUGGGGAGUACGGUCGCAAGACUAAAACUCAAAUGAAUUGACGGGGGCCCGCACAAGCGGUGGAGCAUGUGGUUUAAUUCGAUGCACGCGAAGAACUUACCUGGCUUGACAUAGUAGAGACUUUCCAGAGAUGGAUUGGUGCCUUCGGAAUCUACAUACAGGUGCUGCAUGGCUGUCGUCAGCUCGUGGUCGUGA
rnacentral:rRNA from 1 species